rnacentral:rRNA from 1 species
GAUGAACGCUAGCGGCAGGCUUAAUACAUGCAAGUCGUGGGGCAGCAUGAAGUAGCAAUACUUUGAUGGCGACCGGCAAACGGGUGCGGAACACGUACACAACCUUCCUUUUAGUGGGGAAUAGCCCAGAGAAAUUUGGAUUAAUACCCCGUAACAUAGCGAUGUGGCAUCACAUUGCUAUUGUAGCUUCGGCGCUAGAUGAUGGGUGUGCGUAUGAUUAGAUAGUUGGCGAGGUAACGGCUCACCAAGUCUACGAUCAUUAGCUGAUGUGAGAGCAUGAUCAGCCACACGGGCACUGAGACACGGGCCCGACUCCUACGGGAGGCAGCAGUAAGGAAUAUUGGUCAAUGGGCGAAAGUCUGAACCAGCCAUGCCGCGUGAAGGAUUAAGGUCCUCUGGAUUGUAAACUUCUUUUAUAUGGGACGAAAAAAGGUCUUUCUAGAUCACUUGACGGUACCAUAUGAAUAAGCACCGGCUAACUCCGUGCCAGCAGCCGCAGUAAGAC